GACGAACGCUGGCGGCGUGCUUAACACAUGCAAGUCGAACGGAAAGGCCCUUCUUUUGUGGCGUACUCGAGUGGCGCACGUAUGAGUAACACGUUAGUAACCUGCCCUUGACUUUGGGCUAACUUCAGUAAACUGGGGCUAGUACCGGAUAGGAGCUCCUGCUGCAAAGGAGGGGUUGGAGAGUGUCGGCGGUGGGGGAUGGACUCUCGGCUUCUCAGCUGGUUGGUGGGGUAGUGGCUGACCAAGUCUUUGACGGGUAGCCGGCGGGAGAGGGGGACCGGCCACAUUGGGACUGAGAAACGGCCGAGAAGACUACGGGAGGAAGCAGUGGGGAAUAAUUCACAAUGGGGGGAAGAAGGAUGAAGCAACGACGCGUGCGGGAGGAGGGACGUCGGGGGGUAAACAGCUUUCGUCUGUGACGAAGAGUGAGUGACGGUAACUGGUAAAGAAGCAUCGGCUAACUAUGUG
rnacentral:rRNA from 1 species